rnacentral:tRNA from 1 species
GGAGGGUACGCGAAUGGUUAGCAGCCACACUGGAAAUGUGGUGCCCCGGUUUUUCGGGGUUGCGGGUUCGAAUCCCGUGCCCUCCG